AUACGGAGGAUGCAAGCGUUAUCCGGAUUUAUUGGGUUUAAAGGGAGCGCAGGCGGAGAUGCAAGCGUGACGUCAAAUUUCGGGGCUCAACCCCGUCUCGCGUCGCGAACUGCGUCCCUUGGUUGCGGGAAGGGGAGGCGGAACUCGUGGUGUAGCGGUGAAAUGCAUAGAUAUCACGAAGAACUCCGAUCGCGAAGGCAGCCUUCCGGCCCGUCAACGACGCUCAUGCUCGAAGGUGCGGGUAUCAAACAGGAUUAGAUACCCUGGUAGUCCGCACAGUAAACGAUGGACACCCGCGGUUUGGCCUAUAUGGCUGAGCCGCCAAGCGAAAGCGUUAAGUGUCCCACCUGGGGAGUACGCCGGCAACGGUGAAACUCAAAGGAAUUGACGGGG
rnacentral:rRNA from 1 species